UACGUAGGGGGCAAGCGUUGUCCGGAUUCAUUGGGCGUAAAGAGCGUGUAGGCGGCCAGGUAGGUCGGUUGUGAAAACUGGAGGCUCAACCUUCAGACGUCGACCGAAACCAUCUGGCUAGAGUCCGGGAGAGGAGAGUGGAAUUCCUGGUGUAGCGGUGAAAUGCGCAGAUAUCAGGAAGAACACCCGUGGCGAAAGCGGCUCUCUGGACCGGUACUGACGCUGAGACGCGAAAGCGUGGGGAGCGAACAGG
rnacentral:rRNA from 1 species